CGCGAUUGGUGGCAGCAACGGAGACUGCAACUCGACUGGAGUGGGGCCUGGAGAGAGUCAUGCCCAUAGGCCAGACCUUAACAUUGCUUUCUGCUGACCUCAAGUUUUUAGAGAAAGCCUGGCUUCCUUAACCAAUUGUAAUCAAAGAAUCCUGAAGCCGCCUAUGACCUGUAAGCCCCUUGCUUCAAGAGCUUCCACCUUUUUGGGCCAAACCAAGUUCCAUGAUGGAAAAUCUAAUGGCCACUUUCCAUUUACCACGUCCAAGGAGCAGUCCAGGUAAGUGGCUCCCUUUUGUUUCCAUCUUGCUCCUGGCUUCUGACACC